rnacentral:rRNA from 1 species
AUGCCUUUUGGGUUAACUAAUGCACCUAGUACUUUCAUGAGAUUAAUGAACGAAGUUUUACGUGCUUUCAUUGGACGAUUUGUGGUAGUUUACUUUGAUGACAUAUUGAUUUAUAGCAGUUCUUUGGAGGAACAUUUGGAACAUUUACGUGAUGUUUUUAUUGCUCUACGUGAUGCACGUUUGUUUGGUAACCUUGGGAAGUGCACCUUUUGCACCGACCGAGUAUCUUUUCUUGGCUAUGUUGUUACUCCACAGGGAAUUGAAGUUGAUAAAGCCAAGAUUGAAGCUAUUGAGAGUUGGCCGCAGCCCAAAACGGUCACACAAGUGAGGAGUUUUCUUGGCCUCGCUGGAUUCUAU